UUCACAUUUCUCAGAAAUUUUACAACAAAACAAUACAAAGAUAUGUUGAGGCAACGAAGAAGGCGCAGUUUGGAAAUGGAGUUAUUAUUAAUGAAGUAGCAGCCAUAUUUGGAAAAUUAUGCCGAUAAGCAGGAUGGAAUUUGGGAAAAAAUGUUAUAAAUCGAGUGGCUCAUUUACGAUGUGCUCC
rnacentral:lncRNA from 1 species